rnacentral:misc_RNA from 1 species
CAGCAGGUAAACUGACUUCCCAUUGCUCAUUGGGAAAGCCAUACAAGCACAGAUUUUCCUUCUCCGGGUCACAUUGCCAAUGGAACACUUCAACAUCAGUAGUAAGGGCUUUAAUUAAGCCACUUCUGCGGCCUUUGAAAUCCUUGAAAACCUCUUCAACUGUUCGUGGGUUGUAUUGAGCUCCUGCUGCUGCUCCCUCCAUUCCGUUUUCUCUCUGUGUAUUGAAAUUUCAAAGCUCAGUUUUUUUUUUCUUCCUGUUUUUAUUUCUG